rnacentral:misc_RNA from 1 species
AUUACCCCGGUGUGAAGCGUAUCACCAUCAAGCCUCAAACAGACAGGUGGGUCUUCCCUGAAACCAACACUGGCAUCAUCGUGUUGGCAGAGGGGCGACUCAUGAACUUAGGUUGUGCCACUGGACACCCUAGCUUUGUGAUGUCCUGCUCAUUCACAAACCAAGUGAUUGCACAGCUCGAGCUAUGGAACGAGAAGGCAUCCGGGAAGUAUGAGAAGAAGGUCUACGUGUUGCCAAAGCACCUUGACGAGAAG